rnacentral:rRNA from 1 species
UACGAAGGGGGCUAGCGUUGUUCGGAAUUACUGGGCGUAAAGCGUGCGUAGACGGUAGCGUAAGUCAGAUGUGAAAGCCCCGGGCUCAACCUGGGAAUUGCAUUUGAGACUGCUCUGCUCGGGUGCGGAAGAGGGAAGCGGAAUUUCCGGUGUAGCGGUGAAAUGCGUAGAUAUCGGAAGGAACACCAGUGGCGAAAGCGGCUUCUUGGUCCGACACCGACGUUCAGGCACGAAAGCGUGGGGAGCAAACAGG